rnacentral:rRNA from 1 species
GACGAACGCUGGCGGCGUGCUUAACACAUGCAAGUCGAACGGAAAGGCCCUGCUUUUGUGGGGUGCUCGAGUGGCGAACGGGUGAGUAACACGUGAGUAACCUGCCCUUGACUUUGGGAUAACUUCAGGAAACUGGGGCUAAUACCGGAUAGGAGCUCCUGCUGCAUGGUGGGGGUUGGAAAGUUUCGGCGGUUGGGGAUGGACUCGCGGCUUAUCAGCCUGUUGGUGGGGUAGUGGCUUACCAAGGCUUUGACGGGUAGCCGGCCUGAGAGGGUGACCGGCCACAUUGGGACUGAGCUACGGCCCAGACUCCUCCGGGAGGCAGCAGUGGGGAAUAUUGCACAAUGGGCGGAAGCCUGAUGCAGCAACGCCGCGUGCGGGAUGACGGCCUUCGGGUUGUAAACCGCUUUCGCCUGUGACGAAGCGUGAGUGACGGUAAUGGGUAAAGAAGCACCGGCUAACUACGUG